CCUAGCCCUUCAGAGGGGGACAACAGUUGGAAACGACCGCUAAUACCGCAUACGAUCUAAUCUCGGCAUCGAGGAUAGAUGAAAGGUGGCCUCUACAUGUAAGCUAUCACUGAAGGAGGGGAUUGCGUCUGAUUAGCUAGUUGGAGGGGUAACGGCCCACCAAGGCGAUGAUCAGUAGCCGGUCUGAGAGGAUGAACGGCCACAUUGGGACUGAGACACGGCCCAG
rnacentral:rRNA from 1 species